rnacentral:lncRNA from 10 species
CUUGAAGGGGGAAAUUCCUUGAGGUGCUUCAAAGGGAGUUUACACUGAUAAAUGAGCAUUUCAGGAGGUGUGGGAAGAACGCCUGGUCCACGGGCGCCAUUGUCAGCAUUAGGUCGCUUGGAAAGGGUCCUGACCCACCCACCAUGUCAAGCAAUUAUUUUUCUGGACAGCUUCCUGAUGUCCCCAAGGAGAGAGAGAGCGUGACAGCCAGUGAGGGAAAGCAUGCCACAGGUCCCGCCUGCUAACCUGGCAGGAGGGUGCUUGCAACACCUAAUUUAUCAACGCUUGUUUUCCCUGCUGGAGCCAAGUACACAAAAUCACUCCGCCAACAGAGAAAGAGAAAGGGGAAGCCAUUCUUCACCUUUUUCAGUAAUGUAUUUUUGUUUUGGUCAAUUUCCCAGAUAAAUUAUGGUCUUGUCUCAUUGCUGCAUUGGUGGAAUUCUUGCUAGUGUUAUUUAGUACAUUUUAAAGCUGUGUGAAACCAAAAGGUACUUAAAAAAAAAAAAAAAAGGAAAGUUAACCAAAUUGAAGGGUAAAUUUUUUACAUUGUUCCACUGGCUCCAGUUGGAGCUUAAUCAUCACGACCCUUCCUUCAGUCCACAGCGCCUGCUUCAAGAUGCAGCAGAAGUCAAAAUUGCAAGAGUCUGGAUGUUUUGCUUUCGUGUAACUCAUUAGGCAUUUCCCCCUGUGCUAUGAUAAAUGUCUCUCUCAACCAGAAAUUUUAUCUCACCUGUGUAUGUCCCUAUUUCACUCUGCGGAAUCACUCUCAGGAAAUACAAGCUAAUGAUGUCUGUGGUUCUGAAAUUUCCUUGUUAUUAUUUGUUUAAGACAUUUUUUAAAAAAACCUGUGGACAGCUUAUUAAAAGGAUGCUGAGCAAUGAAAACAUUAUUAGACCAUAUUAUUGUUUAUUGUACCCAGAUGUCGUGCAUUUUACACAUCCCAAAGGAUUAGUAGUAAUGUUGGAUACCAAAAUCUUACUUUUCCUUGCAGAUAUUGAGACUAAAUUUUUCUCAUUAAAAACAAAACAUUUACACUGAACAAAUGGUGCGUGUCCGGGUGAAGCAUCAGGUCUCAAGAAGGCAACACUGCUCAAACGAGACUUAGGACAGAACUGGAGACCAAAACAAAGCUGAGGCUACUGUUGGAAAUACUGGUCUAAAAAAAGGAAGAGUGUGGUAUGCUUGUUUUUUAGUUUUAUAGAAUUUUCCAUUUGGAAAGGAGAGAAAUGCAUACAUCCAAGCUGAAAUAAACCAUUCUAGCAAACAUGCCGAGGAAUAAUUUUCAAGAAUGUUUUGUUUUUAAUGAAAAGGAAAGCAAAUCAAAGAAAACCUGGGUAAGUGUUAAAGAGUACUAAAUUUAUAGUAAGGUUCAGGCAAUCUGCCCACUGCAAUCAGAAAGGUUUGGGCUGUUAGUCAUUUAAGACACACAAUGGGAAAAUAAACAAAGAAGGAGGAAGGGGGAAUGGUAAACUGUAGUUUGGCAGCAAAAUUAGUCCAGCUAGUUCCAUUACAUAUUAAACCAUGUCACAAAGCAAAUAAUUGAAAUAAUGAGGAGCUCAUUUUUUAAAAGAUAUAUAGAGUAGCAUAACAGAAUCAACAAAAAUAAGACUGUUUUAUAUAACAAUUCAAUAGACAAUAAAUAAGCACUCCAUUUGGGGAAAAGAAUCACACAAUAAAUGAUGCUGGGAUGGCUUGUGAGUAAUUUGGAGAAAACUGAUCUAGAAUGAGAGCGAGUAUUCCACAUUCGCCACUCUCUUGUCUUUUGGCUUUCUAUCACCUUGGCCAAUGGAGGAAGACAGCAAAAAACAGGAAGGAGGAAGAGUAUGAAGGGAGUCAUUUCUCCCCGGCACUCCAUGCCAGGUUGCUCCAGAAGGCUGUGUCUCUGUCCUAAGGGCUACAGCUUGGCUUGGGCAGUCUUUCCAUACAACUCUCCAGGUUCGGGAAAUUGCUUACUCAUCUGCCCCUGCAAGUGCAGGGAUGACAAUCACUUCCAGCUGAGCUGAGCCCAGCAUGCUGCAUCAUUCUUUGUUGAUGUCCCUCAACUCCGCUGGCGCUAUCUUGAUUAUCCUUAGGCUUACCUCAGUUCCCCAGUCCUAGUGGGCCUUCUGGUUCCUCCUGGGGCACUGACUGAUCCAGGUGCCCUGGGGUUCAGUCGCUAAGUUUCAGCUUCCUAUGUGAUGGGGUUUGGUUCUGUCCUUGUCUAAAUCUCAUGUUGAAUUGUAAUCCCCAGUGCUGGAGGUGGGGCCUGGUGAGAGGUGACUGGAUCAUGGGGUGGAUUUCUCACGAAUAGUUUAGUGCCGUUCCGUUGGUGCUAUCCUCAUGAUAGUGAGUGAGUUCUUGCAAAAUCUGGUCAUUUAAAAGUGCUCCUGCUUUUGCCAUGUGAUGUGUGACAUGCGUACUCCCGCUUCACCUUCCACCACGAUUGUAAGUUUCCUGAGGCUUCCCCAGAAACUGAGCAGAUGCCAGUAUCAUGCUUCCUGUACAGCCUGAGGAUCCAUGAGCCAAUUAAACCUCUUUUCUCUAUAAAUUAUCCAGUCUCAGGUAUUUUUUAUAGCAAUGCAAGAACAGCCUAAUACUGUGCAAUUUCAGAAUCCCAAGUUUCUCUAUUUACCCAAGACCGGGGGGUGCUCCCGCGGCCUGAUUCAUGCUCACAGACAUGCAAA